UCCCAGACUCCUACGGGAGGCAGCAGUGGGGGAUAUUGCACAAUGGGGGGAACCCUGAUGCAGCGACGCCGCGUGAGUGAAGAAGUAUUUCGGUAUGUAAAGCUCUAUCAGCAGGGAAGAAAAUGACGGUACCUGACUAAGAAGCCCCGGCUAACUACGUGCCAGCAGCCGCGGUAAUACGUAGGGGGCAAGCGUUAUCCGGAUUUACUGGGUGUAAAGGGAGCGCAGACGGCGAUGCAAGCCAGGAGUGAAAGCCCGGGGCCCAACCCCGGGACUGCUCUUGGAACUGCGUGGCUGGAGUGCAGGAGGGGCAGGCGGAAUUCCUGGUGUAGCGGUGAAAUGCGUAGAUAUCACGCAGAACCCCGAUUGCGAAGGCAGCAUACCGGUGCACAACUGACGCUCAGGCACGAAAGCGUGGGUAUCGAACAGGAUUAGAUACCCUAGUAC
rnacentral:rRNA from 1 species